rnacentral:rRNA from 1 species
GACGAACGCUGGCGGCGUGCUUAACACAUGCAAGUCGAACGGAAAGGCCCUGCUUUUGUGGGGUGCUCGAGUGGCGAACGGGUGAGUAACACGUGAGUAACCUGCCCUUGACUUUGGGAUAACUUCAGGAAACUGGGGCUAAUACCGGAUAGGAGCUCCUGCUGCAUGGUGGGGGUUGGAAAGUUUCGGCGGUUGGGGAUGGACUCGCGGCUUAUCAGCUUGUUGGUGGGGUAGUGGCUUACCAAGGCUUUGACGGGUAGCCGGCCUGAGAGGGUGACCGGCCACCAUGGGACUGGGAUACGGCCCAGACUCCUACGGGAGGCAGCAGUGGGGAAUAUUGCACAAUGGGCGGAAGCCUGAUGCAGCAACGCCGCGUGCGGGAUGACGGCCUUCGGGUUGUAAACCGCUUUCGCCUGUGACGAAGCGUGAGUGACGGUAAUGGGUAAAGAAGCACCGGCUAACUACGUG